rnacentral:sRNA from 1 species
CGAAGGCCGUUCGCGGCUGGACUAUUUAUUACCCUUGUCUUUUGCGCACUUGUUGUUUCCUGGGCGGGUUCGCUCGCCACCAGGACCACAAUAUAAACCUUUUUUAUGCAGUUGCAAUCAGCGUCAGUAUAACAAAUGUAAAUCAUUUACAACUUUCAACAACGGAUCUCUUGGUUCUGGCAUCGAUGAAGAACGCAGCGAAAUGCGAUACGUAGUGUGAAUUGCAGAAUUCAGUGAAUCAUCGAAUCUUUGAACGCACAUUGCGCCCUUUGGUAUUCCAAAGGGCAUGCCUGUUCGAGCGUCAUUUGUACCCUCAAGCUUUGCUUGGUGUUGGGCGUUUUUGUCCCCCCCAAAAAGGGGACUCGCCUUAAAAGGAUUGGCAGCCGGCCUACUGGUUUCGCAGCGCAGCACAUUUUUGCGCUUGCAAUCAGCAAAAGAGGACGGCAAUCCAUCAAGACUCCUUCUCACGUUUGACCUCGGAUCAGGUAGGGAUACCCGCUGAACUUAAGCAUAUCAAUAAGCGGAGGAAAAGAAACCAACAGGGAUUGCCCUAGUAACGGCGAGUGAAGCGGCAAC